UGAGAGAGAGCGAGCGUGAGAGAGAGAGUAACCUCAGUACUUCACAACACCUGUUAAGACUCCAGCGAUACAGACACAAUUUGUGAUUUUUACCACAAAGCCCUCUCCUCUCAUGAGACUUGUCACAUCAUGAGAUGCUACCUGUUUCUACUGAUAUACCUUUUGUGCUGCUGGUUUGGGCAAUCAGAUGCACGAAGAAAUGACACAUGCACAGCGAAAGAAACAUGCAGCACAAAAUGGGAUCCAACCUCAAACUUCCUCCACUGUGUGGGGUUAUCAGGGGGGGACACUGGCAGGGACCACAUGAAGAGGCUGAAAGGCGUGCUUGAAGCAACAAUGGACGUGUACACCUUCAUGAAGUCCAGCAUGACAGGAGUGCCAUUUCUGACCUUGCAAGGGGACCUGGAAAUGCACCGUGAAGCUGACCCCCUCCAGAAUGAAGCCCUGGUACAGAUGUGGCUGGAUGUCAAGAUUGUACCAUUGCUUAAAUCCAUCACCAAACAAUUCCUGUCCUGUCUCAGCACCAAGAACUUCAGCUGCACCACCUACCAGACUGUGGUGAGGGAGCUCAGUCACUAUUAUUCUGAGAUGGAGCCCAACAGACAAAACUGGAUCUAUACAUUCUUUAUGUACCCAUUUCUGUCUGGAGACAGAGUUUCUGGUUGUGUGAGCCCACAUGAGAACAAUGAGGAAUGGCUAAUAAAAAACUUUGGUGCCUUCAGAGCCAUGGCUAGAUUAAAGGACUUAUCAAAACUCAACUUGAUUUUCAGUGGAUUGGAGGUUCUUCACCUGUUGUCUCCAGCACAGAAGGCUGAGCUGCUGCUGAGUCCUGAGGUCGAAAGUUGGGACAACAGCACCUUAACAUUGGUCUUCAACAGUUUGCUGACAGGAGGCUCUGGCCCUCAUUCCACCCCAAGGCCUGAUGGUGGCGACAACACUACAACCCCUGGGUUUCUAUCCAUCUACCCUAAGCCUCCACAGCAAACCAUGACACAGGUCCUAAAUGGGUUCAUGAUGGCUCUAAGACCCGUUGGGAGCUUUAUUCAUGAAUUUGUGUCCUUUACACAUGAGAGAAACGUGUCAGAAAUUAAAAGUACCACUCUGACUCAGUUUGUGCUCAACUGGACUCUGUCAGAGCUGGCAGACAUGUACCGGCCACAGAACGGGUCUGUUGUUCCAGAGAGGCCAAAGAUUGACUUUGAUGUGAACAAUGUGGAGGACUGGUACAAGAAGGUCGUGAUACCACUGUUACAGAGCUUUUUGCCGAGCAAUGACUCCCUGAUGCAUCAAAACAUCAAGCUUGCCUUCCACCGAGUAUUCUAUCUGGAACAUGGUAUGAUGGACAAUGAAACCACUGAACUUGUGGAUGUUUGUAGCAUUACCCUUAAUAAGGGUGCUUGUGGGCUGACUAAUGUGGUGGAAAACGUGGCCAAUAUCAUGCACUGUGCCGCUCGAACCAACCUGACAAUAACCGACAUAACGAUCAUGAGACUGAUCGGCGAGCUGACAAAACAACUGAACUCACUCAUUAUGGAAUUAUCCAAAGCUAACUUCAGAGAGCUGGCAUCUGACUUUCAGCAGAUCUUUAGUGAGGUGGACCCUCCCUCUCUGACCCAGGAGCACCUACGUGACCCAGACUUCAUCAAACUCUGGUUCAAGGUCAAAAUGAUGCCCCUCCUGCCGGACAUUCCGCCAGCCCUUCUCUCCUGCCUCAGCACCAAGAACUUUUCCUGUCCUGUUUACCAAACCAUUGUUGCAGGUCUCAGCAAACACAUGAGUGUGAUGGAUGCAGAUCCCAUGUACAGUCAUAACAUCUAUAAGCAUUUUAUCCAUUCCUUUAUGAUGCAUCAGAACACAUCGGAACCCCAGUGUCUUUCUGCAGUCAAUAACAGUGCGGAGUGGCUGAGUAAAAACUUUGGCUUCUUCUCAAGAUUUGCUGUUGUCACUGACUUGUACGAGCUGAACGCAAACUUCUCUGGACUGGAGGUCCUUCACCUCCUUUCCCCAAAACAGUUGGCAGAGAUGAUGGUGUUGCCUCUUCCUACUCCUCCAGAAAAACAUGUUGUCAUCAACAGUGUGUUUGACUUUCUGGAGGCAAACCCUGAACAGCUUCCAGAGGUCCUACACUACUUGGGUCAACUUGCCAAGGAGGUCGAUCCACCCUGUGGUGUCUACAUACACAUUUUUAAGCAACUGUACGCUGUGAUACCAUAUCUGCACCUUGACAUGGAGCCGGUCAUCUGGGCUGGCAUAGAUGUUCUCAUGGACAUUGCACCACAGGAAUGUUUGCCGAAGAACCUGACGUGUCCAGCAACCGCCUUCAAUGCCUCAUUCAUCUGCAAAGGAAUCGACAGCUCUGAACUCGAGUCUCACUUGAAUACGUGGCACUCGAUGGCUGUCCCCUGUAAUUUUACCCUAGAAACAUAUGCAUGUGCACAGCUGGAAAACUUCACAGCCCAUCAGCUGGUGUCUCUCCUGAAAUGUAACCUGCCUGGAAACAGCAGCCACUCUAAAAUGAUUUGGAAGAUGGUGCUCACUAAACUGUCCUUCAUCUUGGACCCAGCUCUGGACAUCAUAGCUAACACAUCAAUGACCAUGGUGGUUCCAUCAGCAUCGGUGGUUUUGGAUGUAAUUGGGGAGAUGAGAGUGUCACUGCUGACUGAUGAGCAGCUGAUGAACAGCAGUGAGAUCAGCACAUGGUUUUCUGGUCGUCUCAGUGCGUUCCUGCCAUUUGCGUCAGAAAGAUUUCUGCAAUGUUUGAUCCAAAAGAAUCUCAGCUGUCAGUCGUACCACCAAAUCAUUGCAGGUCUCAGUGAACACAUGAGAAUGAUGGAUGCAGAUCCCAUGUACAGUCAUAACAUCUACAAGCAUUUCAUCCUUUCCUAUCUGAUGCAUCAGAACACAUUGGAACCCCAGUGUCUCUCUGCAGUCAAUAACAGUGCAGAGUGGCUGAGUAAAAACUUUGGCUUCUUCUCAAGAUUUGCUGUUGUCACUGACUUGUACGAGCUGAACCGAAACUUCUCUGGACUGGAGGUUCUUCACCUCCUUUCUCCAAAACAGUUGGCAGAGAUGAUGGUGUUGCCUCUUCCUACUCCUCCAGAAAAACAUGUUGUCAUCAACAGUGUGUUUGACUUUCUGGAGGCAAACCCUGAACAGCUUCCAGAGGUCCUACACUACCUGGUUUCACUUGCCAAGGAGGUCGAUCCACCCUGUGGUGUCUACAUACACAUUUUUAAGCAACUGUACGCUUUGAUACCACCUGUGCACAAUGACAUGGAGCCGCACGUCUGGGCUGGCAUAGAUGAUCUGAUGAACAUUGCACCAGAGGAAUGUGUGCUGAAGAACCUGACGUGUCCAGCAACCACCUUCAACGCCUCAUUCAUCUGCAAAGGAAUCGACAGCUCUGAACUUGAGUCUCACUUGAAUACGUGGCACUCGAUGGCUGUCCCCUGUAAUUUUACCCUAGAAACAUAUGCAUGUGCACAGCUGGAAAACUUCACAGCCCAUCAGCUGGUGUCUCUCCUGAAAUGUAAUCUGCCUGGAAACAGCAGCCCCUCCAAAAUGCUUUGGAAGAUGGUGCUCACUAAACUGUCCUUCGUCUUGGACCCAGCUCUGGACAUUAUAGCUAACACAUCAAUGACCAUGGAGGGUCCAUCAGCAUCAGAGGUUUUGGAUAUACUUGGGGAGAUGAGAGUGUCACUGCUAACUGAUGAGCAGCUGAUGAACAGCAGUGAGAUCAGCACAUGGUUUUCUGGUCGUCUCAGCGCGUUCCUGCCGUCUGCAUCAGGACAGUUUCUGCAAUGUUUGAUCCAAAAGAAUCUCAGCUGUCAGUCGUAUCAGCAAAUACUGCAGGGGUUCUUCCACCACUCUGAGUACAUGUCUGUAAAACAGAAGAACGUGGUCUUGAUGAGUUUCAUCAUCCCCUUCCUGUCACAACCACACUCAGAUCUAGGCUGUGUGAAUGGCUCCAAUUCAAGUGCAGAGUGGCUCAUGAAGAAUCUCGGCCCAUUUUCAAUGUCAUUGUCUGUUGAGGAGCUACUGUAUUUGAACCCACACUUCAACCCUCUGGAGGACUUAGGACUCUUGACUCCAAAACAGAGUGUGGAGCUGCUGGUGUUGAGUCAUCCUAACCUUCCUGAUCAAAACACCAUUGUUGAUAUGGUGUUUAAUCACCUGACUGAGCCUCCUGAGCAAAAGAAGCUUCCCGAAUUUCUGUUCUACCUCACCAUGCUCCUUCCACAGGCAAACCUUUCAUGUUCCGCAUACAAAAUACUGUUUACCAGAAUGGACCUGGCCAUGGUUCAAGUUCCUCUUUCUCUAGCUUCAAAUAUCACCCACAGCAAGAAUAUCUUAUUCCAGCACAUGCCACCAGGUUGCAUCAUAUACAAAGGAAAUUGCAAUGUCACCAUGACAAAUGAAACAGACAUAUGUCUUGGAGUGAACAGCACAGCGCUGCAGCUCCACCUCGACAGAUGGAACGUGAGCGGAAAAAUGUGUGACUUUGCGAUCGAGGAGUUUGCUUGCGCCUCACUGUUGGCGUUAACAGCGCAGGAUGUGGCUGAGAUGCUGAUGUGUAACAGGUCGUCCGACUCCAGCGGAUCCAUAGCUGCCUGGAAGCUGCUCCUCUCUAAAACCUCUCAUGUGCUGGAUGGAGCUUUGGAUCUUCUUGCCAGCGAGACUUCGGACCCCAAAAAUCCUGCUCUGCCAAAGAUUCUGGGCGCGAUACGGGAAUUAAGACUGGACACCUUCAACGUCGUCAGCUUCAAUGAUCCUGUCUUCAUCCAGCAGUGGUUCAACGGACGGCUUCUCCCGUUCCUGCCCGCCGUUUCCGCUGACUUCCUGUCAUGUAUCGCCACAAAGGCAUUGAACUGCAGCACCUACCAACACAUUGUGCAGAUUUUGAGUCACGCCCAGCCACACAUGACCCUCGCCACGCAGAUGUUUGUCUACACACACUUCAUACAUGUUUUCCUGACCAAGAAUUUCACUGCUGACCCCGUCUGCAGUUUCAACACUAACAACUCUGGGGACUGGCUGCAGAAGAACUUCGGAGGUUUUUCUGUCCUUGUUUCCACCCACGACCUUCAGAUGCUCCACCCCAAAUUCUCAGCGAUGGAGGCGCUGCCAGAGCUGACGGUCAGACAGCUCGCCGAGGUGUCUUCCACACCUGGCCAGCUCACCUCUUCUGCACAGGUUGACAUGUUGAUGAACCAUGUCCCCAGCCAUGAACUCUCCGCCUUCUUUGAUGCAUAUUCACCUGCCAUUAUGGGUAAUGAACACUCGUUCCCCUCUGUGGUGAGAUCAGCCAUGCUUCAAGUUGUGUUUGACAGAGCAAACCUCUCAGAUCCCUCUGUGAGUGACUCCACCGUGAUACUGUGGCUCCACAACCGGCUUCGCCCCCUGCUCUUCGACCUGUCACCUGGCCAUGUUGCACCAUUUUUCAAAAUACUGACGGGAAGGAACUGCAGUCUGGAGCAGCAGGGAGUGGAUGAGCUAAAUUCAACAAUGUCAUCUCUCAGUGGUGAGGCUAAGGAAGGAAUCCACAACAACAUCAUUCAACAGCUCACAGGACCAGUUCCUCUUCGCUGUUAUGGUGACAGCCACAACCAAAGUUUCUAUGGUUUCCUGGAGCAAACAUUCAUGGGAUUUCAGUUCCCCAACCUGACUACCUUCCUGUUACUCAUGCCUCACGACCGAAUGCCUCAGCUGGUGAACUCCAUGCCUCCGUCAGAUCUUGGAGCUUUCCUCCGUCGCCCUGAUGCCGUCGAUGACGAUGCUCAGCUCUGCGUUCUCUACAACAACUACAAGCAGACACCAGCCUUCCUCGAGACUGAGUCUCUCCCAGAGGCCGUGGGGCAGUCCACGCUGCCUUGCGUCUGGCCAAUGGCUCUUGAGAGUUCGGAGAGUUCAGAAGUCAACGCUUGGUUUGACCAAAGUCUCCCUAACUACAUGGGCUUCCUCACAAAAGAUCUGAUCAGCCCCAACGUCACUUACAACUCCAGCUGCCUGGCCUUCCAAAAGCUUGUUUCACUUCUUGGUGUAUACAACUACACUUCUGUGGACUUCAAGAGGCCAGAUGUGUUUGACAGCAUCAGGACGUAUCUCACCUCAGCAACGAUACCAAGGUGUUACAACUCCGAUGACCCAGAACUAAACUCGACAGCCUGGUUUGCCGAGUACAUCGGCCCGUUCAUGCCUUUCCUCACACUUGAGGAUUUGCAGACAUUUGGAUCAUCUGAGGUGAUCCAGGUGUUCACAGUGAACCCUUUGAAUAUUGCCCUCCUCAACCACUCCACCUUAUCUCUCAACCUCACCAACUACUACACCGAGCUGGUUUAUCUGCAGGACAGCAACUUCAAUCCCUUGUUUCUGCCUCUGGUGUGCCGGUGUGUCGCUCCUGGACCGUCGUUCAGUCAGCUGAAUGGUGAAGAGACUUUGAUAAUGUUGUACAAUCUGACCACAGUCUGUACAGACCUGGAUCCACAGAUUUCUUCAGCACUGGCAGGUAACCUUGGUGACAGCAUAGAUGCCACAGCCAUUACUGCCCUCGGCACAGAAAGCAGCGGUCUGUCCACAGGCCAGAUCCACACAAUAAAGCCCGAUGAUCUAGUGGAUUCUCUGUCCAUUCUCAGCACUGUGAACGGCUGGAACGAAGGUCAGGCCAGGGCCAUUAUUGCUUCUAUCAUGUCCUCUGGAAAAUUUGAGAUCACUAACUCUUCAUCACUGCUGAAGCUGGGCUCCCUCAUCGUGGGUGUCCCUGCCUCUAUGUUUGGCAGCAUCAAUGGCGUGCAGCUUGUCAAUGCAGCUGAAAACCCAACAUUCCUGACGCACUUGAUGUCAACUCCACGAAUCAUCCAGUUGAUCUUUGUUAAGCAGAUCAUAUCAGUGAACAGUAACAGCGAGGCCAUGAUGGUGAACGUCCCAGAUGAAAUGGCCACCGAGAUCCCUCGAACUCAGGUUCUGACCUUCACCAGUACCAGCGUGAUCAGAAUGGUCAACAAGAAGAAAUGGAAACAUCAGCAGGCUGAGCUGUUCUUCGAUGUCUUAGCUGUGGAGGAUGUGACCACAGAGUUGGGAGGUGCAAACAACUUGUCAUCCUCUGUAUUACAAGGGUUCACCUGUACUGGAGUAAGGACCAUUAAAAAGGUGCAGAUCAAGAAACUGGUCAAAGCCUGUCGGAGGAAAGGCAAGAAGAAGGUCAAACUGACGGAGACACAGCUGACGUGCAUGUACAACCACAUUAAAGGAGAGUCCGACGCCACCAGCUUCGACCAAUAUCCUAGUGAUGUGCUUUUGUACUAUGAUUACUCUCAGGUGCCUCAGAGCAGCUGCAGGUCUUAUUUCGGACAAAUAUCAGAUGCAGACUUCUCUGUCUUCUCCAACGACCUCAGCUACAAACGUACUAAUCUGUUAAAUAAUGCCAAGAGCUGCCUGGGUGUAACAGACACCAGCUUGAGUGAGGAUAAUAUACGGUUGCUGGGAAACAUGUGCUGCUAUGUGGACCCAUCUUACAUUGAGGAUUCUGACCCGUAUAUCUUGGAAAUCCUCAAGACCUGCUCAGACCUCACUGACACUCAAGCAUCUGCGGCUCAGACUCUGCUGCUGAGCGGGAAAACUCCAUACGGAGAACCAUCAACGUGGGAUAGACAGACUCUGGAGGACCUGGAUAUGUUACCGCUGUACAUGACGUCAACGUUCUAUGAGCAAUUUGACAGGAAAACGAAGCGCAAAUUUUUGAGGUAUUUCCGGAGAUUUCUCAAGAGAAGUGGUGUGGGCAGGAGGAAGAGGAGGAAGUUCAAGAGAGCAAUACGACAAUCGCUUAGAAAGAAGUCAAAGCGAUCUAUUGCCGAUGAGUGCACUGUGGGAAACAUCACUCAGGUGACAAUCAGCGAUGAGACGUUCCCCUUCGAUUACGACGAGGUGGCCCAGUUCAACUGCUGCCUCAGCGCCACGACGGUUAAAGACAACUUGGCUGCCAUUGCUGAAAAGGUGGACGAGCAGGAAUACCUCCAGAUUGUACUCAGCAAGCUGCAUGAGGCUUACGCUUCCACCGCUUCCAUCCCAGAAGACCAGGUUCAGGUUUUAGGCCCAGUGUCGCGUGAGGCCGACAUUGCUCAAAUAAACAAAUGGACGAUCACUCAGAUCGAUACUCUCUCCGCUUUGAUGGACUCGUCCGACGGGGAAUGGGACCCGAGCAUGGCUAAAGUCAUCAUCUCUAAGUAUCUGAGUGUCGCAGGGAACGAACUCGGCAGCGUAGAGCUCAAUGCCAUCGGAGGAACCAACCUGUGCGCUCUGGACGUGGACGCUUUGAAGAAUAUCUCCCAACAAAGCCUCAAGGAGGCCGACGCCCUCGAUGUGUCCAACUGCACCACAGAGAAAAAGAGAGAGCUGUUUGCCAUCGCCACAGAGGCGUUUUCAGAAACCAGCCGCUCCUCCGUAGCUGUCUCCGUAUCCACCUACCAGCUCGCAAAAUCUUACCUUGGGGGUGCAAAUUUAAGCUACAUACAGAGUUUGGCAAAAUCCAAUGUCAGCAUGGACAUGGUUACUUUUACCAGCCUGGAUGAGAACGUUAUACAGGCCCUGACUGUUGAUGAAGUCAAAAAUCUCCUUGGCGACAACGUGGAUGAGUUGAAGAACUAUGAAAACCAAACGCAGGUAGAGUCAUGGAUCAGGGCUCAGUACCAGUCAGAACUGGACACACUGGAAUUGGGCCUGACAGGAGGUAGAGCUGACCCCACAACUGUCGCCGUCACCACCACAACACCACCAGCACCACCACAGUCAACACAAGCAGGUGCAACUACCCCUGCAUCUGGAAGUGCAACCACAGGUCAUGGCUCUCGCGUCCGUGCAGACGUCGGCGUCUCCCUCCUCGUUCUCUUAGCGCUGUUUGUCAUGUCCCAGCAUGUCGUGGUGUAAAGACAACAGGACUAUUUUCAUGACUGAUGAGGAGUGGAAUUUAUGAUCCAGGUAAUAGUCGAGAUGAAAUGAGGAGAGAGCUACUGUCCUUUUGAUUUGUCUCUUAGUAAUAGAAGUACAAUAGUGGCGGUGAGUGAAUUACCUCACAGCAGAAGCACUUAAAUUAGUCUACAUUGUUACAUUACAGUGCAUUAACUUACAAUAAACAAAACAUAUCAUCAAUAACAACAACACAGUACAUUAACAAUUAUGAAGUUUUACCCGCCGUAAAAAAACAUUUUAUGUAUCAUUUCCAGGCACGUUUACCUGCUUUACUCAUAUUAUUUUAUAUUUUUCACUUGUUUAAACUGCUGACAGGGUUUAACAGACAGAAAUAACUAAAUGAAGGUGGCAAGUUUUCUGCAGCGUUUUCCAUCGCUGUAAUCCUUUAGAUUCCUCUGUUUGAGACAAAAUGAAAAUGAAUGAAUGAAGAAUGAUUAUGGAACUCCUGUUAUAAAUGAAUAAAUAAAGUGUAUAGUCAUCAAAUCUCAUCCUUGUCUCAGUUUAUUAACCCUAUUAACACCCUUUAAAUUUAUUAACACUUAUUUUAACCAUAAAAGGAACCAGAAAAUGUCCUGUAAUUUAGUGCUUUUGGACAUUUUUCCAGAAUAACUUCCGAUAUCUGGCAGGAAUUUACAAGAAAGAAGAAAAACAAAAAGGUUUAUUUCGAGAAAAAAACCCACUGCAGUUGUACACCAACAGAUUGUGCGUGUUAAAUUAGGAAUUUGAACAAUAUAAAACAUAUUUAAGACAAUAUUUUUUGAGUCUCUCAAUGUUUCUUUGUCUCUCGGUGUGCAAAAACCGCUGAUUCUCUGACUUCCUGAAACAGUGUGAGUGAAAUUAGUAAUUAUUAAUGAAUUAGUGAAUUAGUAAUAACCAAACGUUGGCUUUGAUGUGCGACAUUUCUCAGCUUUCAGGAAUCAUUGGGCGUGAGAGGAUACGCGGCGUUCCUCAAGGAUCCGCUCCCGGCCCAACUCUAUUGAACAUCGACAUGCUGCCUCAAGCUUCAGCUUAUAAAAUAUUACAACUUAUCUUAUCACACCUGUGCAGACGACACACUACUUUAUAUAUUCAGUGUCAUCACAUGACCACAGUCACUGAAUAAGUGUAUUUAUCGAAUCAGUGAGUGGAUGCGCCGGAGCUGUGUCUCAUCUAAAAUACGCCUGUUAUUAGACCUCAGAGCUCGGGGUGGAGUGUGAAGAAAAAGGAGUUCUGAGAGCGAGGAGCGGCGGCGUGACUGUGACGGUGACUGGUCUAAGCCAACAUACGGGGAAUUGCAAUAAUCCAACGGAAAUGUAUAAAAGCAUGGAUUAGUGUUUCUAAGACCCUGCAAAACUAGGCCAUUUCUGUGAUUUUACUGCCCUAAUGUUUUAAAAAAACAAACAAACAAUGGUUUGGAGUAAAUAACACAGGUAUAAUACACAGGUAGCACAAAAGGUAAGGACAUUUGUGUUUCCUCAAUUAUUUAUUUAUUAUUCAUUUGUUGUAACAAUGUUUCUGGGUAAUAAUUCUUACACCGUUGGGAAAACCUGUUUAUUUCCCUUUCAAAUUCUGCCACAUUUUUAAGCAGUAUUCAGAACUUAUUUAAAAAUGUAGCUGAGCAUCAUUUAAAACAAAAUCUUUGUGUGUGCAAGCUAUGGGACUGAUUAUUAAUUUACUUAUUUAGAUUAUUUUAUAAACAAUAUAAAAAUAAAUAAUGUAAAUAGAGCUAUAUCUAGCUAUUUGGAAAUAGGAAGUCAACUCAUGAUUGUUGAAUAAAUGUUUCUUUCUACUACUUACCUAUUAUUUUAUUCACUGACACUUGCUUUUGCCUCAUGUAAAGUUGCUUAUUUUAAUGUAAACUGUGUGUGUGUGUGUGUGUGUGUGUGUCAUGCGUGUAAUGUAAAUGAGUUGCAGGUGUGUGUGAUGAACUGACUGAUUGCUCAGUGUGAGUGUUCAGGUGCAUCGUGGGAUCUGAUUGGUCCAGAACAGGAGGCUCCAGUAUAAGAGGCCUGAGACUGACUGCAGACUCUGAACAUGUGUUCACUGAUGCUUUGUUUAUGUGUUGUUGUUGGGGGUUUUUUUUCUGCUUAGUUUAAAGUGCAGGUGUAUUUAUCAAAAUAAAGUGACUGUCCUUGCAGCACUGAUCAGCCUGGUGGCAUCUGGAAUAAAAACCACUCUGUCACAAAAAGCCUGGGUUCUGAAAACUCUCGUACUGUUGUGGCUUUGCCUGAAUUAUGUCAUUUCCUCAUAAUUAUGUGAAAUGUGUUCGAACAUCAAAUGUUGGCACAUUCCGGAGUUGAAUCUCCGCCGUGAGCCAAUAAAGUAUGCAGCCUGUU